GACGAAGAUGCGAAGCCCAGGUUCCUCUUCCACUCUCGCGCCAAUCCAUCUUCGCCGCCGGAGCUCCAAACCGAUUCGCAAUCCAGCAAGCUUUUUCUCUCAAUCACCGUCGUAAUCUCUUCCAUUUUUCUCAUUCUCUCAAUUUUAUUCGUCCAAUUCGAACCCUUCAGAUCCCUUCUCAUCUGGCUUUCUCUCUCCCUUCUUCUCGGCCCUUU
rnacentral:misc_RNA from 1 species